GACGAACGCUGGCGGCGUGCCUAAUACAUGCAAGUCGAACGCAGUGGGGACGGGUGAGUAACACGUGGGUAACCUCCCAUCAGAGGGGAUAACACUUGGAAACAGGUGCUAAAACGAUACUGAUGGAUGGACCCGCGGUGCAUUAGCUAGUUGGUAAGGUAACGGCUCACCAAGGCCACGAUGCAUAGCCGGCCGGGGAGGGUGUUCGGCCACACUGGGGAUGAGACACGGCCCAGACUCCUACGGGAGGCAGCAGGAGGGAAGCGUCGGCAAUGGACGAAAGUCGUACGGAGCAACGCCGCGGGAGUGAUGACGGCUUUCGGGUUGUAAAGCUCUGUUAGUCGGGACGCGGUACCGGAAUAGAAAGCCACGGCUAACUACGUGCCAGCAGCCGCGGUAAUAC
rnacentral:rRNA from 1 species